AAAAAAAGAGCAACUGACCAAUAAGCUGCCUAUAAAGUCUCCAUUGAGUUGAUUUUGGAACGUGUGAAGUGUUUGAGAGGAUUAGAGACAGUAGAAGAAGAGGAAUUCAGAGCAAUGUUUGACUGUAAACAGCACUGAAGAGCUGGCAGACUUUUUGUCCAUCACUGGAUGUGCAUCAGUUUUGACACAGACCAGGAAAGGAUUGGUGCAGCAAAAGUUUUGGAGCAGGUCAAUUCCUUAUUUCGUUGAAUUGAAACUGUGGGACUUCUCAUCUGGGACUUGUUCUGCUUCUG
rnacentral:lncRNA from 12 species